rnacentral:lncRNA from 1 species
AGAAAGCCAUGUGGAGCAAGCCAGUAAACAGCACUCCUCCACAGCCUCUGCAUCAGCUCCUGCUCCAGGUUCCUGCCUCAUGUUUGGCUGAAAGUGGAUAAAGCUCUAUUGUAAGAGACCCCGUGGGGUAGAAAGCAGGAAGAGCUGUGUAGUUUGAAGCAACAAGCCAGAAAGACAUAUCCUAUGUUCCUGGCCUGUGUGUACCUCUGUACCUGGGGACCAUUCAUGUUCCUUCAUGGACCAGAUCACAUCUACUGGCGUGGAGACCAGAGGCCAGAUUUAAGGGGAGGACAGAUUCAAACUCUGGUCCAGCCUGAUCAACAGAGUGAGCCCCAGGCUUGCCAGAUCUACAUAGUGAGACCAUUUCUCAAAACACAAAGUGAGAUUAGAUGAACAACCAAACGUUCUCAUAAGAAACUGAAGUAGCAGCGGGCCAUGGUUUUCUUGCAGUCUCCGUGACAUUGGGCUGUAUGUGCCUCAUUAGAUGGGAUUCCAUCCAGUGCGUCCCAGGAACCGCCCUGCCAUCUCACUUAAGAUUCUUAGCAACCUGUCAUCCUGGGUCACAGACGCUCGUUCGCUCACUCCAUCGUGGACCAGCAGCUGUCAGCCAGUGCUGCCCACAGCUGUGUUCUCUGCCUCAUGCUGCUUUGCAGACCAUUGAAAGCAUCUCCCGCUCAGUGAGGUCUGGAUUUGAACCCAGGCCCCAUGCAUGCUAAUGGGGAGUGAAGUGCCACAGCCCAGGGUCUUCUUUUGACAGCCUAGUCCGUCCACCUUGUCCACAAGAUGUCCAGGUUAGGCCUGAGCCUAACCUGCUUCCCUUCCCCUUGCCAACUGCUCUCCAUCUAUGAAUGGUCCCCGGGAAUUAGGAAGAAUGGGGUGGGAGUGGGAUUGGCCACUCCUAGGAGUCUGGUGUUUGUUUCAUCUCCUCUAUAAAUGGUGUAAGAAAGAUGUCCCAGCAAGACGUAGUAGCACACAUCUGGGAUACUAGCACUCAAGAGGUAGAGGCAAGGGUUAUCCUGAGCUACAUAGCCUAUCCAAAACCAGUCUGGGUUACAGGAGACCCUGGUUUUAUUCAUUCAUUCAUUUAUGAUAUUCUCUUUAUCCAGUUCCAACCUAAACUAAAUAAAUUAAAAUUUAAAUAUGGUUAUCGACUGAGGGGCUGGCUGCUCUCAGCCUCAGUCUCUACCUCACUCUCUUCCCUGAGGCAGCUGUGCAAAGAUUUGGUCAUAUGACACUGAAAGCCUGGGACCAUGCCAAAGCAAGUGUGUAGUGGCGUGGAGGCCAAGGACAGGGCCAAAGCCUGCUGCCAGGACCCCCUCCCUGCCAGAUGUGGCCAAAGAGCAUCAAAGCUCUACUCGUUGUCUCCGCCCCUCUCUUUAGCAGGGCAGCUAGCCCUCCCCUCGGGCACCUCUCCACCCUUCUAUUCUCCCAACUCCCAGGAGCCAGACUUGGUACCCUGGAAGCAAGCCACUCUUUCUUCUCUAGGAGCCUGACAGUUAUCUCUCGGGAAGGGACUGCUGGGAGUUCAGAGUUUGGGGUACAGGAGAGGGGUGGAGGGCAGGUCUUUUCCAGGGGAAUUCAGGAAGGUGCAUGUGCCGGAGCACCGGGCUCCACAUAGUGUGAGGACUCUCAGGCUCGCUGGGUUCAGGGCUAACCCUCUCUGCAGGGUCCCCACCAAGGGAGAGGAAUCAGAGCCUGUGGUUGUAAUUCAUCACCUCGACCUUUCUCGCAACUCCUUUCUGGAUACAAGUAGUGGUGAUGACCUGCCUCCAGCUGGCCCUGAGGAUUCAACAGAGGAAUGGCAGCAAGACCCGACUACUGUCCAGGGGCUGCUGCUGACCGCGGUACAAAGCGAGCAGUGAAGGCGUACAAGAAGUCCGAGUGCCAUGCUACUGCAACUGAGCAUCCAGGCUAUGAAGUGCAAUCCGGCUACGCUGCCCAGCACCAGAACACAUGCUAGCUUCUGGUAGAGUUUGGACUAUAAAGAACCACCAGCUGGAGGCUCCUGGGUUUUGAGCGCUGGUAGCUCUCUGAAGCUUAAGUGAGGAUUUCUUGCAAUUCCCUUCUGUCUUGUCACAUGCUUAAAAACAAGUCAAAAACUUCACAGUUUUCACAGCUUGUAUAAUUUAACCAUUUGGGAUUCAUUUUAAAUUUGGGGCUAGUAUAACUCCUUGAUUGCAUUGAACUGUAAAGAGCCAAAAAAGGGGGGGAGGGGAGUAUCACAAAUUGGACUUGGCGCGCUUAAAAGACAAGAAAGAACAUGAAGUUGGGUGAGUAGGGAGGUGGGGGUAGCUCUCGGAGGAGUUGGCAGAGGGAAUGAAUAUUAUUAAAAUACAUUGUAUGAAACUGUCAAAUAAUAAAAACAUUAUUUUUUUUAAAAAAAGGAAAAGGAAAGAAAAGGACUUAGGAGGCAGUACUAGAUCAGACCCAGGAGCGUCCAGGAGUACAGUUCCUUAGUUCCUUCUACAG